UUUGAGGCUUGCAUAUGUGGCAACAGCGUGGCCGCAGGGUUUACUUGGAAUUCGCAACGUUUGCGGCAAUGAAAUACAAGCAAAACAAACAAACUAGAAACUAAAGCUGUUGAUUCGGCAAGUUUGAUACAAAUUUUGCAGUUUAUGUUAAUUCUCUUACAUACCAUUUGAAAUCUUUGGUCCACAUUCAAAUUUAAAUUCAAAUUCAAAAUCGAUAAGUGGAUGACACCGGCUAUCGCUCAAUUAGGCACGUGCCCAGACUAUCGCACAUGUGCAGGAUAUCGAUAUGGCCAUUGCGCCAUCCCGUAAUCUCGUUGCGCAGCUUUGAUUCGACGCGUUUUUUUUAAUCUGCAUUUUUCCGAGCAAUCCGUCUAUAAAUUUUCCUGAAACAUACGAAAUAAUAUAUAUUAGUGUUGGCUUUAAUAGUAUUUCGGGUUAUAAAAUGGUCGUGUGGGUGCUUCUUGACUAUUUCGACCUCCCACACUUUUUGCUGAUCAAAUUUUUUAUUUUGUUUGUUUAUUAUUUGCUCUGGGAACUGUCAGCACAGGGUUAAGUGGAUCAGGACAUUUGGCGCGACCCCAAACGGCAUCCGUUUACUGACCGUCCUUCGAACUGUGGAGGGCAGUGCACGCAGGCUCCACUGGGAUUACCAGGUCAAUGUACAUGCUGCCUCGCGCGUUUUCCUAUUGCAGCAGGCACGCGCGGGCUGUGUUGAUCCCGCCCCCCUCUUGCAAUCUUAGGGGUCCAGCCACGCGCUGUUUUUUCCUUGCAUCUCCGCGCGUUCUCCUUUGUCUUGCAGCCACGCGCGUGAUUUUCUAUUGUUCCCCCCCGCACGCCUCCACGCGCCAUUUUUGCAGUGCUAGUGCUGCAGUCCCGCACUUGAUCUUCUGGUGCUACGCGAUAUACGCGGAUAUAUUGUUAAAUUUAGCGCACGAAUCGUUGUAGAAUACUGGAGAGUAGGCUCCUACCCGCGCGUGUGUGAAGUGUGUGUUUAGUGGAGAGUUGUGACGCAGCUCUAGAAGUGCAUAUACAUACAUAUGUAUGUACAUAUGUAUGCAUGUGAAAGGCAGCGUAGAGCCAUCCCUCGUGCCUAUUUUGGAGAGAAGCCCAGUGUUUGAUUUGGAGAAAAUUGGUGCAGCUGCGUCACGUGUUUCUAUAGUGGAGACUACCACAAAUUUCCACGCUCCUAUUUAUCUGCUGUUGCGGAGAGUAACUGUUCUUCGCUCAGUGGUCCCCCUCGCACGUGCCUAUAGUGGGCAGUGGUGGGAAGGAGAAGGAGAUGGAUGGACACAGCAACAGCAGCCGCACUUCAUUAUAAGCCGAGCAUAUGCCCUGCUCACCCACUCUCCACCCCUUGGUCGGGAUAAUUGAAUAUGGGUCUAUUAAUGCGCUUAACACAAAAGCUGCUGCUGCUGCUGCUGUUCUGAUGCUGAUGAUGAUGGGCCACAAUCCAAAGGGACCGUACCUUUGGUCAUGGAAGAAAGGGAUAGAUAAUGCGAGCGAAUAUCACAGACAAGGAAGAGAGGAAACACACUGCAUACGCAUGUAUGUACAUAUAUUAAUACAAGGUAUUAUUCAAUAACAGAUUCGUUUGAUAAGGAUCCCGAUUCUAUAAAAAAGGCGGAUGAUCAACAGAUCGAAGAACAUCUCUUAGAAUAUUACUGGUAAGUUCUAGCCAUAACUGAAGUGGAUGUUUUUCCGAGCAAUAACUCCAUAUAUGUAUUGCUCUCUUAAAUGCAAUCCUUAAAUGGACAAUCCAUGCACGCUCAACUAUUAUAAAUUCACAAUAAUGUGUUAUCGCCUCCAAAUUCCAAAUUUCAAUUUAUGAUAUUUUUUUUGUUGUUUUUUUUUUUGGCAAAACAAAACCAUAAACUUGUUUGCUUUGCAUUCGGAAAAGGGGAUGCCCCCAGAAAUAAAAUAAAUAUAGAAAAAC